UCAGAUAGUGUUAAUUAUCUAUAUUUAUUGUUUAUUAUGUCAAAUAAUCAGAUUGAAUUUGAAAGCGAUUAAAACUAAUGAUUGUCAAUAAACAAUGAAUAUUUUUAUUUUAAUAUGCAAAAUGAAGGGCAUAGAAAUGCAUAAUAUAAUACGCUGAAAUGAGUGAAAAUACAAGUAGCAAGUUUUAUAUAUAUAUUUCACUCUUCCAAAGCUUUAGCACCUUCCCCAUAACACAAAAUACAACAAAAAUAUACACAUCAGGAGAUGUGAUUAAUUCUUCUUUUCAUCCAUACAUCCUGAAUUCCUGAUCAUGAUCUUUAACAUAACUGAUACUUUAACAUCACAUAAAACCUUAUUAAAGAUUAAUUAUAGCAAUAAUAUUAAGAUUAUUCUUGUUCAAAUUUACCUCUAAUAUGGAGGCCGGCCAUGAGCCCAUCCAAAUGCUUCAUGGUUCAUUUGACCCCCGCCGUUGGGGAUCAAAUUAGGCUGCAAGUUAUACCCAGGCAUCGGAUCACCCAACCCUCCACCACUUCCCAUCCCAAGUGGUGGCGGUGGUGAUCCACCACCGCCACCACUUCCCAUCCCAGCCUGCACCACACUAUCUCCCUCCUCUUCUUCCUCAACCGGGAGUCUUUCAUAUGUGGCGUUGGAAAACAUUGCUGCUAUUACCAUCACUGGUCCUGACGCCACCAACGUGCCCACCACGCUCCCACCUACGACCUGACCUUGACCCCCCGCGACAUAAAUAGUCAGGCCAGUUGAGCCAGGUGGUGCAGGACCUGGUAAAAACGCUCCUGUGAGGGACAAAAUCUCAAAUCUCCCUUGUAAGGCCAUGACUGAGCCAGGAGCUGUAGGUUGUCUUAGGGUUACAUUCAUGACUGUCCCACUAGCACUCAUCACACAAACCCCUCUUUGUCUUCUCCUACUAAACUGAGCUAUACACUCAGCCACAUCUGUCCCACUCUCCACCUCCAUGACAUGGCUGCGAAGCGCGUUGGGACUGUCCCUGGUAACGAAAAUCGGUGGCUUUGGCUUGUUUUUGGAGCCGGGUGGACGGCCUCUAGGCCGCCUGUUUGAUGUCUCGAUCCCCCCUUCUCUUGGAUCAUCGCUGUUGUUGUCUCUCUCGUCUUCUUCGCUUCCUGUAUGGUUCUCGUUUACUGAUAUUCCCAGAUCUGGCUUCUUUAGAGCCAAAGAACCGCCUGAUGAAGGCUCUAUUCCGGCUAGGUUAGCUUGUCCGGUCCACCACUGAUUCGACAUGCUCUAUGCCGGAAUAUAAUGGUCAAAAAGUUCUUCACAAAUACAAGAUGAUUAGUAGAAAUUGGAAAGAUACAAAGAAACAGUGGUGUAGAUGAAAACAACUGAUUGUUAAUCUUAAAAAUAGCCCUUGGGGACCAUUUGGAGCUAUGUGUGAUUUGGUUGGCUUGUCUUUAGGUUUUAGUUGGUGGGUGUGUAUUCAACAAAGGU
rnacentral:lncRNA from 1 species